ensembl:lncRNA PURPL p53 upregulated regulator of p53 levels
GUGUGAGGUGGUGCUAUGUAGCAGGAACCCCUCUUGCUUUGCAAAUAGUUUUUUGUUUGUUUUCCUUUUUGCCCAAUAGAGCCCUGCUCUACUGACCCUUCAAUGUGCCCGUGUGCCUAAAUAUUCCUGGUCGUGUGAAAAGAACCCAGGUAUUAGCUGAACUAAGGAGCACAAUUCUGCAACAUUUUGGCACCCAAACACGGGGCUUGAGAAAUGCAUAUUUAACUAUCCGGCUAUUUUGGAGAUUGAAAAAAGAAGACCUGAUUUAUCAUGUGCAAUAUCUCACACAUCUGUCAUUUCUAUUCUACCGCAAUUCGAUGGAGUCUUGUUCUGUGGUCCAGGCUAGAGGGCAGUGGCAUGAUCUCGGCUCACUACAAGCUCUGCCUCCCGGGUUCACGCCAUUCUCCUGCCUCAGCCUCCUGAGUAGCUGGGACUACAGGCGCCCGCCACCACGCCUGGCUAAUUUUUUGUAUAUUUACUAGAGAUGGCUAGUGUUAGCCAAGAUGGUCUCGAUCUCCUGACCUCGUGAUCUGCCCACCUCAGCCUGCCAAAGUGCUGGGAUUACUGGCGUGAGCCACCGUGCCUGGCCAGCAUCCUCUAAUUAUUAUUCAUAGUUUGUGAAUUUAGGCCUACGUGAAUAAUAAUAUAAUAUUUACUAUGAUGUUACUAUCUACCAACCUUAUUUUUCUUUUCUAUAAAAUAGGAGCCAAAAUAAUAUUUAUGUCAUACCUUAUGAAGUUAAAAUAAAAUAUAACGAAUGAGGGGCUUAACAAUGAGUGUCAUUUUGUAAUUACUUUGUACCAUUAUUAAUUGCUGAGACAGAAUAUGGUAUCACUAGUCAUCUGUAUCUAUUGCACAACUUUAUUUUGAUUCAUUCCUUACUAUUUUGCAUAGAUAGGCCUAAAUUUUUGAUCCACUGCUCAACUCCUGUCUUUAAACCAUUGGUUCUCAAAUAGAGUUGAUUUUGACACCUAGGGAACAUUUGACAACAUAUGGAGAUAUUGUUGAUUUUACAGGGCAACCCUUCAUAAGCACAGAAUUAUCUGGCCCCAAAUGUCGACAGUGUCAAGUUCGAGAAACUCUGCACUAGGCUUUUCUGUCUGGUUACUCACCCCUCUUCUUUGCACUGCCCCCAGUUUUAUGGAUAUUGAAUUCCUGAUUUCUCACUAUAUUAAUUGCACUUAUAGAUAUUCUAAAUUGAUUUGUAUAUAUCUUCCUAGUUUGACCCAUUGCUUUUAACUGAAUUUUACUGGGCUUUUAUAAAGGCCAUUUCCAUGGAGUUUAGUCAUUAUCUUCACCAAAUUUUUAUUUGCUUCAGUCUGGGGAGGAACUCUAUAUUAAAAAAUAAAAACAAACCCAAAAACUAAUUUAUGAAAGACAUUUUAUAAUGUAAUUACUUAAACAUUUUUUUUCUUCUUUCUCAUACGAUCUUUUAAAUUCAGUGAGUGACAUGUGGUUUUCAGGCUGGGUCAGGAAGUUUGCUUGGACGGGGAAAUUCUGUCUGCUGAGACACUAGGGGAGCAAAUGCCUAUGUGGGCACAGGCUGGUCACUGACCUCCUAGGGUUCCCUGACAAUAAAUUAGUCCUAGUUGAGGUCGCCAUCAUCAGAACUUAAUUGGUCCCUGGUACUGGUGAAUCUCUGCACCACAGAGACUAAUCAGUUACAGAACUCAGCUUCUGGGCAUAGGCAACCUUUUCUGUUUUUUCAAUUUUUUGUCAGCAAAGUUGAGAAAAUGAACACACUCAAACAGCCCAUUUCUUAGCUUAUCAAUAUCCGUACCCACUUCUUUCCCUCAUCAACAUGUAUUUUCCAUAUUUUGUUGGUAUUAACCUCUGACACUCAUCCACACAAGAAAGUCUACAAAGCCUAAACUAACUUUUAAACAUUAUUUAAGGUAAUAGCUUUGUCUUCCACCAGAAACCUGGCGACAUUUUUAAAAGGAUUUGAAGAGAUAUAUACCCGAGGGACAGAGAGAAAAAUUAGUGCUGACCAGUCUGGGCCUACUUGACUAACACAAAAUAGAUUAAAUUAAUAAAAACAAGAUGUUCUGCAUUUAUAAACAUGUUAACUCUUUUUAAUGUGUAUGACUCAUUAAUGAGUUCAUAAUUAGAUUUUGAAGGAUUUCAUUCUGGACCUUGCAGAUUGUAUGUAUCUUUCUGGUAAAUUAGGAAGUAUAAUUUUUCAAUAAAAAAGCUCACUGGAAACCCCUGUAACAAGUAAUAAAUAUUUAAAAUUUGCA